CAAACCAUCAUUAAAAAUUUUUCUGAGAAACUUUGUUUUUGUGAGAUUUCACUGCAUAUGCCCCCUUAUAUGUGCCCUAGACUUGGGAUGGCUAGGCCUUGGGCCAAAUAUUGGCAAAUCAAAGUGUGGACUUGGGUAUGGUAUGGGUUUGAAUUGGGCUAAGUUUUUGCAGUCAUUUUAGUAGACUCAGCCCCUGGGCUUGUGGGCAAGAAGACCAAGUUAUUGAUGUGUAUGGGAAGCUGAAACCUAGGCAAAAGAGCCCAAUGUUCUAUUUUGAUAGCAAAGUAUUUUCUCUCACUAGAACUUGGCUUCACCAUAGAGAAGCUAUGCUAAAGUCUGGUCAGAGUGGCAGAUAAUCUGCAAAAAUUUUGUCAGAAUACUAAUCAGAUGUAAUAAGCAAUUCAAUACU
rnacentral:lncRNA from 1 species